ACUGCUAUCGCUGAUGACCGUUCCCUCCAUUGCCUGUUGACAGUCUAUACAUGGAAGAAGUGCACGUUAAGUUUGGAGAGGAAUUAUGCUUCACUGUUGGAGGUCAGCAUAUUCCUUUUGGUGCAUCACCACAGAAUAUCUGGACUGAACUUGGACCUCCUUGUAGAAUCUAUCAGAAGCAAAUAAUUCUACUGUUCAG